CCUACGGGCGGCUGCAGUGGGGAAUAUUGGGCAAUGGGCGCAAGCCUGACCCAGCAACGCCGCGUGAAGGAAGAAGGCUUUCGGGUUGUAAACUCCUUUUCUCAGGGACGAAGCAAGUGACGGUACCUGAGGAAUAAGCCACGGCUAACUACGUGCCAGCAGCCGCGGUAAUACGUAGGUGGCAAGCGUUAUCCGGAUUUACUGGGUGUAAAGGGCGUGUAGGCGGGACGGCAAGUCAGAUGUGAAAACGACGGGCGCAACCUGUGGCCUGCAUUUGAAACUGGAGUUCUUGAGUACUGGAGAGGCAGACGGAAUUCGUAGUGUAGCGGUGAAAGGCGUAGAUAUUAGGAGGAACACCAGUGGCGAAGGCGGUCUGCUGGACAGCAACUGACGCUGAGGCGCGAAAGCGUGGGGAGCAAACAGGAUUAGAGACCCUAGUAGUC
rnacentral:rRNA from 1 species